UGUAAAUCUGUAGAAAGUCUUUGACAUGCUACCAUACUAAGUGUAAAUGAAUGGCAUGUGAGAAUAGUUCCAGUAAAGUGAGAAUUGGCAAUGAGUUCAGCAAGAAAUUUGGCUCUGAGCCCCUUCUUAUUUAUUAUAGAUCACCAGACCUUAACAGAGAAGUUUAAGACCAGCUGUUCAUGGGAACUCUUCAGUAUUGAUGAUAUAGUUCACAUAACUGAAUUGGUUGAAGAUUUAGAAAAGAAAGUACAGAAGUGGAAGCAAAGAUAAAUGCUUUUAGUUAACAGGAGAGAAAACAGAAUUCUACUGCCAUCUGUAAAGUGAUCGUGUUCGACAUGUGGAAAAGAAGCAGGUCAUAAUUCCAUAUAGUCUGUCCAAUAUAAACAAAGGGUCCACAAAAUGUAUUGCAUUUUCACAGGCAAACUGAGCUGGAAGAUUUCGUAUGAGUGAAAUGCACCAGAUUAGUUAGAAGUAAGUCCUGUGAAAAAAUAUGAAGAGCUGCAGAAAUAAUCACUUCAAUAAAUCCAAAAUGAUAUCGACGGAGGAAGGAAACACCUUGUGCGAGGGACUACAUAGCUCCUAGCCGCUCUACUUGUCUAGACUAUGUUACUCUUUCUCUCUCUCUCCUUUUCCCACCAGUCUUCUAGCAGUCAACAAAAUACGAAUUUAACUACCUACGGAAUGGAUAACAGAUCGGCAAAUUAUCAUUGUGUAACAACUCGAAGAAGUUGUAUCUUACAUUGUAACGAUGAGAAUAAAGGCCCAUUUCAACCAA